UCUCUACUUACACACCAUCAUCUCUACUUACACACCAGUAUCUCUACUUACACACCAGUAUCUCUACUUACACACCAGUAUCUCUACUUACACACCAGUAUCUCUACUUACACACCAUCAUCUCUACUUACACACCAGUAUCUCUACUUACACACCAGUAUCUCUACUUACACACCAGUAUCUCUACUUACACACCAGUAUCACUACUUACACACCAGUAUCUCUACUUACACACCAGUAUCUCUACUUACACACCAUCAUCUCUACUUACACACCAGUAUCUCUACUUACACACCAGUAUCUCUACUUACACACCAGUAUCACUACUUACACACCAGUAUCACUACUUACACACCAUCAUCUCUACUUACACACCAGUAUCACUACUUACACACCAGUAUCACUACUUACACACCAGUAUCACUACUUACACACCAGUAUCUCUACUUACACACCAGUAUCUCUACUUACACACCAGUAUCUCUACUUACACACCAGUAUCUCUACUUACACACCAGUAUCUCUACUUACACACCAGUAUCUCUACUUACACACCAGUAUCUCUACUUACACACCAGCAUCUCUACUUACACACCAGUAUCUCUACUUACACACCAGUAUCUCUACUUACACACCAGUAUCUCUACUUA